rnacentral:lncRNA from 1 species
AUGCUUGUAUUAGUCAAUGCAUAUUAUUCAGGCUAUCCACUGUUGCUCUCAGAUUUUAAUUUGGCUCAACCACUGAUUGUCAGGUGUGAACCCUUUCCUGUGGAGAGACCACUGUUUCACAGAACCCCUGUUUGUUUUUCUACUAAGGAGAAAGGCCUUAACAUGGCGUUGGUCUUCAGCUUGUCCACUCUCAUGUUUCUCCUCAUCACUGGGAUGGAGACAUCCAAAAGUCUAAGUCAGGGCCCAGAGUUGAAGCAGGUCGUCCAGGUGGACUCUGGGAAGGAUGCAGUCCUAGAGUGCUCUGUGAACAUCAGUGAGAAAUCCACUGGUAAUGUAAACAUAGAGAAGGUCGUGUGGUGGAGGCUGGACCAGAAUGGUCUUCACAAAGGUGGACCUGUGUUCAAAUGCAACAUAUUCAAUCAACAAUCCUCCAAUCCCAGGUUGCAGCUGAACCCAAAAUAUCAGCUUCCCAUGCCACCUGCCAAUGAGAAAGACAAAGUUGUGUCCCUGUUGGUCAAAGAAACCCAGCCUGAAGACGAGGGUCCGUAUGAGUGUGUGGUGAACACUGACAGUGGAAUCACACAUUGUAACUUCAUGCUGAAGGUCACAGUGUUACAGUACGAGCCCAGCACUGAAAAGGAGAUUCCAAAGAACAGUUACAUGAGUGUGGCUGCUGUAUGUGUGGUAGUAGGCUCUCUUGCCAUUGGACUGCUGCUUCUCAAGCUGUUUCAAGCCAGAAGACUCAGACAAGAGCCUCAGGAUACAGCAGUCCCAGCAGAGCACAACCCCAGCACCAGGACAGGACCGUUUCCGUAGCGACAGAUGUAUUAUCAGGGGUGCCAUGGGCUCUCUUCUCUGUCGAUGUCAUGUCUGCUCUGUCUCUCACGUCACAUCGCUAACUGAAUGUGAAUGCUUUGCCUGGAGGAGGGAGCAAUCUGGCUCAACACUAUUCUGUUCCCCCUCUGCAGGAGAAAUGGAGUGCACGCAUUGUCCUGCUACCAAGCUAAUUGUUAGCAGCAUUGUCUGUAGUUGUUAAUCACACCAGACUAUUCUUUCAUAAUUGUUUUAUAUAUUGUAACUAAAACCUGAUAUGAAACAAAUGCACAUAUUUAGUGGACAUUGAUUUGACAGUGAAGACACUAGUGUGAUACAGUAGCAGUGUGUGAAAUUGAUCUUGACAGAACACCUUUACUUUGUGCAUCACAAUUUGAAGAAGUCAUUUAUUCAGAAGCCAAUAUUGUGUUUUAGUUCAUUUGAGAGUUGCUUUAGUUGACAAAUGCCAUGUUUUUUAUUGUUACAAAGUGGGAUUCAAAUUUAUUUAAUUGUCAUUUUUUUGUAAACAAUCUACAUAAAAUACUCUGUCAAAGUGGAAGAAAAAAUAACACAAAAAUACUGUAGCGACCCAAACAGCUGUGUUAUGUAUUAUGCUGUUGGUUUUGUUGUACUUACCAGUACGCAGUGUUCGCGGGGUCCGACAUGCCAGUCAAUCUGCUAUCUGCCAACCACUGCCUGGAAUGUUCUUGUGCCGGGCAUCCUGGUGGCUGGUGGAGCAGCAGGGGGGUGGAGCAUCGCAGGUUUAAGGCCAUGUUUAGCCAUUGUUCUCUCUCUUACUUCUGGUCUUCACAAGAGAUGUUCACGGUUGUUCAUAUGGAUAUCCUUAAUUUAUUUGGCGUGGGCUAUGGCCGAACAGUAGCCUGUGUGGAGUUGGGUUAAUAAACCGUGAAUUCGUCAACUCAACCCUCUGUCUGGACAAUUGUAUCUUUAUGAUCUAGCCAGGUCAUUACAAUACCUUUAAGUAUUCAAACCCCUGAGUCGAUACAUAGUAGAAACACCAGCUGUGGGUCUUCCUGGGUAAGUAAGAGCUUUGUACACCUGUAUUGUGCAAUAUUAUUUCCUUAUUAUUUUCAUAAUUUUUCAGGUUUUUGGGAUCUUGGCUAAACAGCAAUUUUCAAGUCUUGCCAUAGAUUUUCAAGCAGAUUUAAGUACAAAACUGUAACUUGGCCAGUCAGGAACGUUCACUGUCUUCUAGGUAAGCUACUCCAGUGUAGAUUUGGCCUUGUGUUUUAGGUUAUUGUCCUGCUGAAAGGUGAAUUCCUUGACCAGUGUCUGGUGUAAAGCAGACAGGUUUUCCUCCAGGAUUGUACCUGUGCCGAGCUCCAUCCCGUUUCUUUUUAUCCAGUAUUUGCCGACGUCAAGCCUACCCGUACCAUAUUUCAUAUUUUCGCUGUCAAUUAGGUUAUUAUUUUGGAAUCACUUCAUCGUUGUCGAUCCAUCCUCAGUUUUCUCCCAUCACAGCCAUUGAACUCGGUAGCUGUAUUAUAAAAACACCAAUGGGCUGAUGGUAUUUGUAUUUAAUAAAGAUUGCCAAGGCAGCAGCUGCUCUUCCUGGGGUCCAGGAACAUUAAGGCAGUUAUAUACCAUUUUAAAAUAUUACAUGACAUUACAUUUCAUAACACUUUUCACAACACAUUAAGUGUGUUCCCUCAGGCCACUACUCUACUAUCACAUAUCUACAAUACAAAAUCUAUGUGUACUUGUGUGCAGAGUGCGUGUCUUAUCAUGUGUACAGUAUGUGUGUCUGUGCCUGUGUAUCUUCACACUCCACUGUUCCAUCAGGUGUAUUUUUAUCUGAUUUCUACUGCUUGCAUCAGUUACCGGAUGUGGAAUAGAGUUCCAUGUAGUCAUGGCUCCAUGAAGUACUGUGCGGCUCCCAUAGUCUGUUCUGGAUUGUAAAAAGACCCUUGGUGGCAUGUCUUGUGGGGUAUGCAUGGGUGUCCGAGCUGUGUCUCAGUACUUUAAACAGACACCUCGGUGCAUUCAGCAUGUCAACACUUCUUACUGAAACAAGCACAACAAAUCUCUCCUCCACUUUGUGCCACGAGAGAUUUACAUGCAUAUUGUUGUGUCUUUACUAUGAAUUAUAUGAUAUGACAUGCUAUUUUAUCAAAUUAAUUCUCUAAUUAAUAUUACCUGAUUACCUGUGUACUGUUAGACAGGUAACUCUUUAUCCACAAUAUAGCAAGUGUAAAGCCAGCAGCUGACUAUGAUCGAUAAUGUCAAAAGCCGUACUGAAGUCUAGCAAAACAGCUCCCACAAUCUUUUUAUCAUCAAUUUCAGUCAGCCAAUCGUCAGUCAUUUGUGCAAGUGCCGUGCAUGUUGAAUGCUCUUCCCUAUAAGCAUGCUGAAAGUCUUUUGUCAAUUUGUUAACUGUAAAACAGCAUUGUAUCUGGUCAAAAACACAUGUUUCUAAAAGUUUAUUAAGGGUUGUGUUAGCAGUUGAUGUUAUUCUUUAUUAACACAGACCCCAAGUAAAUCAGGGGGAGGAAAAUAGGUUUAUUCGAACAGAACAAAUCAUACGGGGAGGUAGAUGGUCAUUCUCCCCUGUCCUCAGUGAUGCUCUCCCAGUGAUUCUUCCCUGUCCUCAGUGAUGCUCUCCCAGUGAUUCUCCCCUGUCCUCAGUGAUGCUCUCCCAGUGAUUCUCCCCUGUCCUCAGUGAUGCUCUCCCAGUGAUUCUCCCCUGUCCUCAGUGAUGCUCUCCCAGUGAUUCUCCCCUGUCCUCAGUGAUGCUCUCCCAGUGAUUCUCCCCUGUCCUCAGUGAUGCUCUCCCAGUGAUUCUCCCCUGUCCUCAGUGAUGCUCUCCCAGUGAUUCUCCCCUGUCCUCAGUGAUUCUCUCCCAGUGAUUCUCCCCUGUCCUCAGUGAUGCUCUCCCAGUGAUUCUCCCCUGUCCUCAGUGAUGCUCUCCCAGUGAUUCUCCCCUGUCCUCAGUGAUGCUCUCCCAGUGAUUCUCCCCUGUCCUCAGUGAUGCUCUCCCAGUGAUUCUCCCCUGUCCUCAGUGAUGCUCUCCCAGUGAUUCCCCCUGUCCUCAGUGAUGCUCUCCCAGUGAUUCUCCCCUGUCCUCAGUGAUGCUCUCCCAGUGAUUCUCCCCUGUCCUCAGUGAUGCUCUCCCAGUGAUUCUCUCCUGUGGUUCUCCACAGAACAAAGGGACAGGGUGUAGUUUAUAACUCAGCCCUAUCCUGUGGUUGACCAAUUAGAAUUCCUUGCAAUAAAACUGUAUCCUAUUUCAGGUUGGACCAAUGGGAACGUGCCACACCGUAAGUUCAGGACUGACAUUCCUAACAGAUGUUGAACUGAAAACCAACUAUUUCCAUAGAUAAUUCCCUAUUACAGAAAAACCACUAUUUCCAUUGAUCGUUGUUACUCUAUUGACUUCUCGUCCUCUGUCUCUGCAUUGUGUAUUUAUCUUCGAAAUAUUCUUAUUGUUGGUAACAGGCUGAUUGGUCAGCUAUUUGAGCGGUAAAGAGGGCUUUACUAUUCUUGAGUAGGGGAAUUACUUUUGCUUCCCUCCAGACCUGAGGGCACACACUUUCUAGUAAGCUUAGAUUGAAGAUAUGACAAAUAGGAGUGGCAAUAUGGUCUGCUAUUAUUUUCAGUCAUUUUCCAUCCAAGUUGUCAGACCCCCGUGGCUUGUCACUGUUGAUGGUGACAUCCCUAAGCAGUUCCCUCCCUAUCCUCCAGUUCAGAAGGACGACUGUAUCUUUGGUGUGUCUGGGCCAGUAAAGACUGCUGAGGGGACCAUGUCUUUGAUGUGUUUGAUACCAUUCCAUUUACUCCAUUCCAGACAUUACUAUGAGUCAUCCUCCCCUCAUCAGCCUCCACUGGUCUGGGUGGUUUAAUACAUCAUCCACAGCAUUUAUUAACUUGACCAUGCUUAACGAGAUAUUAAACGUCUGAUUUGUUAUUGUUAGCCAUCUACCAAUCACUGCCCUUUAUGAGGCUUUAGAAACCCUCGUGGUCGUUCUAGUUGAAUCUCUGCUUGAAACUCCCUACUUGACUGAGGGAUCUUACAGAUAUGGACAGAGGAAAGGGUAGUCAUUCAAACAUGAUGUCAACCAGUGGAGACCCGUCAUUCAGGGCAGGUGGGGCAGGGCCCACACUUUUUUUGGGG